rnacentral:rRNA from 1 species
UGCUUCCAUCUGGAAGAAAUCUGGAGACAGGUGGCUCGCAUGGCUGUCGUCAGCUCGUGUCGUGAGAUGUUGGGUUAAGUCCCGCAACGAGCGCAACCCUUGCCUUUAGUUGCCAGCAGUUCGGCUGGGCACUCUAAAGGGACUGCCGGUGUUAAACCGGAGGAAGGUGGGGAUGACGUCAAGUCCUCAUGGCCUUUAUGACCAGGGCUACACACGUACUACAAUGGCCGAUACAAAGGGCAGCGACACUGCGAGGUGAAGCCAAUCCCGUAAAAUCGGUCUCAGUCCGGAUUGGAGUCUGCAACUCGACUCCAUGAAGUUGGAAUCGCUAGUAAUCGUGGAUCAGCAUGCCACGGUGAAUACGUUCCCGGGCCUU